rnacentral:lncRNA from 1 species
CUGAAUCACUUCCGAAGUGUGGAAUCACAUUUUCUUUAUUAUCCACAAUUUUUAUCUUUUCCUUUGAUAAUUUUUUAUCGCUCUGAACUUUACCCUCUUCGAGUUCGCGAGACAAUUUUAUAUCUUUUUCAGAUUCUGCAAAAUACCUCGCAUCUUCAUAUCGUACUUCAUGGACUCCAAAUGGGCGUAUAUCACCAUCAAUUCUGAAUUCUUCUCCAUCCUUAAUAUAUUUCAUACAUUGAUGAAGAGUAGAGGGACAACAUUAUACUCGUGUAACCAAGGCCGUCCCAAUAACGCUUUAUAC